UACGUAUGGUGCAAGCGUUAUCCGGAUUUACUGGGUGUAAAGGGAGCGCAGGCGGAAGGCUAAGUCUGAUGUGAAAGCCCGGGGCUCAACCCCGGUACUGCAUUGGAAACUGGUCAUCUAGAGUGUCGGAGGGGUAAGUGGAAUUCCUAGUGUAGCGGUGAAAUGCGUAGAUAUUAGGAGGAACACCAGUGGCGAAGGCGGCUUACUGGACGAUAACUGACGCUGAGGCUCGAAAGCGUGGGGAGCAAACAGGAUUAGAUACCCUGGUAGUGACUGACU
rnacentral:rRNA from 1 species